CCUACGGGUGGCUGCAGUGGGGGAUAUUGCCCAAUGGGGGGAACCCUGAUGCAGCGACGCCGCGUGGGUGAAGAAGCGCCUCGGCGCGUAAAGCCCUGUCAGCAGGGAAGAAAAUGCCGGUACCUGAAGCAGAAGCCCCGGCUAACUACGUGCCAGCAGCCGCGGUAAGACGUAGGGGGCAAGCGUUAUCCGGAUUUACUGGGUGUAAAGGGGGCGCAGACGGCGAUGCAAGCCAGGAGUGAACGUACGGGGCCCAACCCGGGGACUGCUCUUGAAACUGCGUGGCUGGAGUGCAGGAGGGGCAGGCGGAAUGCCUGGUGUAGCGGUGAAAUGCGUAGAUAUCAGGAGGAACACCGGUGGCGAAGGCGGCCUGCUGGACGGCAACUGACGCUGAGGCCCGAAAGCGUGGGGAGCAAACAGGAUUAGAUACCCCAGUAGUC
rnacentral:rRNA from 1 species